GUAAGGAAUAUUGGUCAAUGGGGGCAACCCUGAACCAGCCAUGCCGCGUGAAGGAUGAAGGCGUUAUGCGUUGUAAACUUCUUUUGUAUGGGAAGAAUGACAGGGAUUUAUCCUUGGAGAGACGGUACCAUACGAAUAAGCACCGGCUAACUUCGUGCCAGCAGCCGCGGUAAUACGAAGGGGGCUAGCGUUGCUCGGAAUUACUGGGCGUAAAGGGCGCGUAGGCGGACAGUUUAGUCAGAGGUGAAAGCCCAGGGCUCAACCUUGGAAUUGCCUCCAAAACUGCAUGACGAAGGUACGGUAGAGGGGAGUGGAAUUUCCUGUGUAGCGGUGAAAUGCGUAGAUAUAGGAAGGAACACCAGUGGCGAAGGCGACUACCUGGACUGAUACUGACACUGAGGUGCGAAAGCGUGGGGAGCAAACAGGAUUAGAUACCCGGGUAGUCC
rnacentral:rRNA from 1 species